rnacentral:rRNA from 1 species
CACCGCGGUUAUACGAGAGACCCUAGUUGAUAAGUACGGCGUAAAGAGUGGUUUAGGAGUUAACAAAAUUAAAGCCAAAGUCCUCCCAAGCUGUUAUACGCAUCGUGGAGAUAUGAAGCCCCAACACGAAGGUAACUUUAUUAUUAUCCUGACCCCACGAAAACUGAGACA